CCUACGGGAGGCUGCAGUGGGGAAUAUUGGACAAUGGGCGAAAGCCUGAUCCAGCAAUGCCGCGUGAGUGAUGAAGGCCUUAGGGUUGUAAAGCUCUUUUACCCGGGAUGAUAAUGACAGUACCGGGAGAAUAAGCUCCGGCUAACUCCGUGCCAGCAGCCGCGGUAAUACGGAGGGAGCUAGCGUUGUUCGGAAUUACUGGGCGUAAAGCGCACGUAGGCGGCUUUUUAAGUCAGGGGUGAAAUCCCGGGGCUCAACCCCGGAACUGCCCUUGAAACUGGGAAGCUAGAAUCUUGGAGAGGCGAGUGGAAUUCCGAGUGUAGAGGUGAAAUUCGUAGAUAUUCGGAAGAACACCAGUGGCGAAGGCGACUCGCUGGACAAGUAUUGACGCUGAGGUGCGAAAGCGUGGGGAGCAAACAGGAUUAGAUACCCCAGUAGUC
rnacentral:rRNA from 2 species